GGGCGGCCACAAAACUUCAACCCCGGGCGUUGCCAGGCAAUAGCCAUUCAGUUCGGUUGCUGGGACACGCGUCACCAUGGCGACGGCUCCGCGCCUAGCAGUCUGCGUAUUUAAAGAGCAAGCGCGCGCAACGCCCGGGCGUCGGAAAGCGGCCUUCCGGGAUAUCGCGGUCUCCCCUUCUCCCUCCCCUUACCACCCCCUUCACCCUCUUCUGGGCGCCAAGCCUCUCUGGCCUCCAAGGUGAACCCAACUCCCCAGCGCGUCCUGGGUUCUCGGGCUGGUCCGGCUUCCAGCGGUGGAGAGCGGGAUUCCGGGCCCCGGGCGGGCGGGAGGGACGGGACGCGGUGCAGUGUUGUUCUUUCCCCUGCCAAUAUUGCACUCGUCCCGGCCUCCGGCCCCCUCGGCCCCCCGGCCUCCCCCUCACCCCGAACGGGGCAGCCCCAGCCCUCCUGGCUGUCGAUCCCGGCUGCUCUUAGACUGGAGUGUCGCCGCUGCCACCGUGACAAGGUUGGCCACCUCUCCCUGAACAAACCCCGCAGCAGUCCAGUCCUCUGGCGACCCCAGCCUUACCAUCUGAGUCCUUCUGAUUGGGAUUGGGUACCAGGCGACAGUUAUCAGGACCAGGAGGCACGUAAUCUGGAACCCCGUCAUUGUCAUCGUCCCCAUCACACUCAUCUCCAAGUCCGUCGUUGUCUGAGUCCAGCUGGGAGCUGUUGGGCAGCUGUGGACAGUUGUCCUUGGUGUCCUGAUGUCCAUCCCCAUCACUGUCCAGAAGAACAGGCACCAAAUAAAGGCUUUUAAAGGUUGGUGAAAGUCCUGGGCUUUGUCUCCCAUCCAGAGGACAGUCAGGAAAUCUGCCUGGAGCUCGUCUCGUCCUUUUGCCCACUCCUGGCCUAACCCUACACCCUCCUUCACGUGCCCACUGACAUCUGCCACAGGGUCCCCAGCCACGCCCCCAGCCCCAGGCCUGCACCGUCGCCAUCCACGUCGUUGUCACAGGCAUCCCCUUCCCCGUUGCCGUCUGUGUCUCUCUGGUCAUUGUUGGGAACGUUGGGGCAGUUGUCACACGCAUCACCAAAU